rnacentral:tRNA from 2 species
CCGGGUGUGGCGCAGUUUGGUUCAGCGCGUCUGUCUGGGGGGCAGAAGGCCGUAGGUUCAAAUCCUACCACUCGGA